GACGAACGCUGGCGGCGUGCUUAACACAUGCAAGUCGAACGAUGAAGCCGGAGCUUGCUCUGGUGAAUUAGUGGCGAACGGGUGAGUAACACGUGAGUAACCUGCCCUUGACUCUGGGAUAACGCUCCGAAAGGAGUGCUAAUACCGGAUACUCACACCGAAGCACAUGCCUUGGUGUGGAAAGUUUUUCGGAAAGGGAUGGAGUCGCGGCCUAUCAGCUUGUUGGUGAGGUAACGGCUCACCAAGGCGACGACGGGUAGCCGGCCUGAGAGGGCGACCGGCCACACUGGGACUGAGACACGGCCCAGACUCCUACGGGAGGCAGCAGUGGGGAAUAUUGCACAAUGGGCGCAAGCCUGAUGCAGCGACGCCGCGUGAGGGAUGAAGGUCUUCGGAUUGUAAACCUCUUUCAGUAGGGACGAAGCGUAAGUGACGGUACCUAAAGAAGAAGCACCGGCUAACUACGUGCCAGCAGCCGCAGUAA
rnacentral:rRNA from 1 species